rnacentral:rRNA from 2 species
GGCCCAGAUCGUUUACCGUGAAAAAAUUAGAGUGUUCAAAGCAGGCAGAUCCAAUUUUCUGCCACCGAAUACAUUAGCAUGGGAUAAUGGAAUAGGACCCUGUCCUCCUAUUUUCAGUUGGUUUGCCGCGAGGACCAGGGUAAUGAUUAAUAGGGAUAGUUGGGGGCAUUAAUAUUUAAUUGUCAGAGGUGAAAUUCUUGGAUUUAUGAAAGAUUAACUUCUGCGAAAGCAUCUGCCAAGGAUGUUUUCAUUAAUCAAGAACGAAAGUUAGGGGAUCGAAGACGAUCAGAUACCGUCGUAGUCUUAACCAUAAACGAUGCCGACCAGCGAUUAGGAGACGUUGAAUACAAAACACCACCAUGCGCAUUGCGGUCGUCUUUGGUGUCGCUCACAAGGCGGCACCGGGGCGGCUUAGCUCGCAUGGCACCGGUGAAUGACUCCCCUAGCAGCUUGUGAGA